rnacentral:rRNA from 1 species
AUGAUGAGUGUCAUAGAUUAGAUAAUGGUUUAUUCAAUAAAUGAAAGUGUAAGCACUCCACCUCAAGAGUAAUUUGGCAACAUUGGAACUGAAAUCAUUAGACCGUUUCUGAAACCAGUAGUGAAGUAUGUUGUUUAAUUUGAUAAUCCGCAAAAAACCUUACCACAACUUGAAUGUUUAUAUUUUUGAUUUAAACACAAGCGUUGCACGGCUGUCUUCAGUUAAUGUCGUGAGACUAUGGUUAGUUCCUUUUAAUUAACGUAAACCCCAGCUUUAUUUUUAAAUAAAGUUGUCCCCCCAUAUAUUGGAUAAGAUAACAGGAACUAAGACAAGUCAUC